rnacentral:rRNA from 1 species
ACGGAGGUUGCAAGCGUUAUCCGGAUUUAUUGGGUUUAAAGGGUGCGUAGGCGGGAUAAUAAGUCAGUGGUGAAAGCCUGCAGCUUAACUGUAGAAUUGCCAUUGAUACUGUUGUUCUUGAGUCUAGUUGAGGUGGGCGGAAUGUGUAAUGUAGCGGUGAAAUGCUUAGAUAUUACACAGAACACCAAUUGCGUAGGCAGCUCACUAAACUAUAACUGACGCUGAGGCACGAAAGCGUGGGUAGCAAACAGGAUUAGAUACCCUGGUAGUCCACGCCGUAAACGAUGAUCACUCGAUGUGUGCAAUAUAUCGUACGCGUCUAAGUAAAAGCAUUAAGUGAUCCACCUGGGGAGUACGUCGGCAACGAUG